CAAGGUUCUACUACUAUCAUCG
rnacentral:siRNA from 1 species